GAUGAACGCUGGCGGCGUGCCUAAUACAUGCAAGUCGAGCGAACAGACGAGGAGCUUGCUCCUCUGAUGUUAGCGGCGGACGGGUGAGUAACACGUGGAUAACCUACCUAUAAGACUGGGAUAACUUCGGGAAACCGGAGCUAAUACCGGAUAACAUGUUGAACCGCAUGGUUCAACAGUGAAAGACGGUCUUGCUGUCACUUAUAGAUGGAUCCGCGCCGCAUUAGCUAGUUGGUAAGGUAACGGCUUACCAAGGCAACGAUGCGUAGCCGACCUGAGAGGGUGCUCGCACACACUGGAACUGAGACACGGUCCACACUCCUACGGGAGGCAGCCGUAGCGAAUCUUCCGCAAUGGGCGAAAGCCUGACGGAGCAACGCCGCGUGAGUCAAGAAGGUCUUCGGAUCGUAAAACUCUGUUAUUAGGGAAGAACAAAUGUGUAAGUAACUAUGCACGUCUUGACGGUACCUAAUCAGAAAGCCACGGCUAACUACGUG
rnacentral:rRNA from 1 species